UACGAGGGGGGCGAGCGUUGUUCGGAAUUAUUGGGCGUAAAGGGUGCGUAGGCGGUUUGGUAAGUCUUAUGUGAAAUCUAUGGGCUCAACUCAUAGACUGCAUGAGAAACUGCCGGGCUUGAGUAUGGGAGAGGUGAGUGGAAUUCCUGGUGUAGCGGUGAAAUGCGUAGAUAUCAGGAGGAACACCGAUGGCGAAGGCAGGUCUCUGGGCAUUAACUGACGCUGAGGAGCGAAAGCAUGGGGAGCGAACAGG
rnacentral:rRNA from 1 species